CAACCAAUUGUACUUUAUAAAUUUUGUUAAAAAACACAAAUAAGAAAAAAUUAACUUUUGUAAACCUUUAUUACACAUAUGAAGAUUUGUUUUCAAUUUUUGCAGAAUAAUUUUAUAUAAACAAUUUUGCAAUGGUGUAAAUUACUCAAGCUUUUGCAAUUUUACUUGCUUUUAUAUGUGCUAGAGCUUAAGCUCCUGCUAUGUUACUUUUUCUUUUGGUUUUUUUUUCUUGGUUUUUUUUUUUUUUUUUUUGUUGUUGUAUAACGUUAAAACUUUAUUCGUUAAUUUUUAGCCAAAGCAAAAAAAAAAAAAACACACACACGUGAAUAUGUAUAUAUAUAUAUGUAUAUAAAUAUUUGUACAUAUGCAUGUAGGUUAAAAAAAAAAAAAAAAAAAAGUGGUACAUAUGGUUCAUUAUGAAAGCUUCACUCAUCGCUGAGUAAAAAAAAAAAGUUCACACUUGUGAAAGUGUUAACCGUCAAAUGAACCCACACGCUUUUAAAUAUAUAUUUUGUUUACAUCAACAUAGUUAAAUUUUGAGUUUUAAAUAAAUAAUUAAAAAAACAACUGAAAAUUUUUUCUUAUUCGAAAAUAAUAUAAAUAAAUUUCAUAAAAUUAAAAAGCCAAGAUCAAUUAAACCCUUUGUAGGUACAAAUUUUUACACAUAAAACCUUGCAACAUUUUCUUACAACGUUUUCUUACAACAUUUUCAAUUUUAAUUCACAUUUUUUUUUUUUUUUUUUUUUUUUUUUUUACUUUUUACUUUUUUUUUAAGUUUUAUAUAAUAUAUUGUGUAUUUUUUUAUUUUAAAUUUGUGCUUUACAUAUAUAUAUAUAUAUAUAUAUAUAUAUAUAUAUGUUGAAAGUAAAACUUCAUAUUUUUUUAUAAUUAUUAAAGAUUUAAUAAGAACCAGGUAUUUAUUGAAAAUAACCCCCUAUCCCCCCAAAAAAAGCAAAAAUUUAUUUUAUCUGGCUAUUUACAUAUAUAUUUUUUUUAGCCAACUUGUAAAUCCGUUGAGGAAACACGACUAUCUUACUUUAAAUAAAACAUAUUAUAUAAACAAAAUGAUUACAACCAUAGUAUCACCAAUCGUCACAUACCAACCCCCUGUUGUUUACACAACUUCCUAUAAUAUCGUACCACAAACAGUUAUUUAUACUUUUCCACAAACUAUAACAACUGUUAGAACUGUUCAAGUCAUACCUCCUCCUAAGCAAGUAUAUGUGAGUUACGCAUAUGCUACACCAGUAAACAUUAUUAUAUAAUAAAAAAGUAAUUAUAUGUAUACACAUUUAUAAUGGGAGAAAGAGAAAAGAGUAAUCAAAAUACUAAUUUAGGAACUAAGAAUGAAUUUAUGAUUGUAUAUACAUAUACAUGUGCAAAAGGUAAAUAUAUAAAUGUAUAAUAUAAACUGGCAAACCCACAAUUGUUUAUAAUGUACUUUAAAUAAUAUGUAUUAGCUAAUAUUAUUUAAGAAACUAUGAAACUCAUUUUCAUGGAUAUUUUUUUGUCAUAUUAAAAAAUAGCUAAAAGUAAAGAAUAUAGUAAAUAUCAUAAAUACAAAAAAAAAAAAA
ensembl:lncRNA